rnacentral:snoRNA from 1 species
UACCCAUGAUGUGGACACUUCAAGAGUAGCCCAUUGAAUCGCUCCUAUGUUUCACAAAACUGGUCGUCUUCUUUCUGGGUAAAACUCUGAAAUUUUCCUGCGAGU